rnacentral:pre_miRNA from 1 species
AGUGGAGGACUCCAAAGGGAUCGCAUUGAUCUCAUCAGCUGCAUCCAAGCAUGAAUCAACGGAUGGAUGGAUCGAUGCAUAUGCAAGAUCAGUGCAAUCCCUUUGGAAUUCUCGAC